GGGCCGUUGGAGUAGUGGUCAACUCGCCUGGUUCUCAACCAGGAGACCGCCGGUUCGACCCCGGCACGGCCUG
rnacentral:tRNA from 1 species